CUUGGAGAUGGGGGGGGUCCUUCAGCCCAGAUUGUGAGAGGGCACAGACCAGGCCUAGGGACCCCACUGGUGCAUG
rnacentral:pre_miRNA from 1 species